UCCCUGGAGGACUAGAGGUUAGGACUCUGGGCUCUCACCGCCGUGGCCUGGGUUUCAAUCCCGGCCAGGGAA